CCUACAAACCUGGGGAGUUCAUCUUUCAGGGUCCUAUCUUUUUGCCUUUUCAUACUGUUCAUGGGGUUCUCAAGGCAAGAGUACUGAAGUGGUUUGCCAUUCCCUUCUCCAGUGAACCACGUUUUCUCAGAGCUCUCCACCAAGACCCGUGCGUCUUGGGUGGCCCAACAGGGCAUGGCUCAUUGUUUCAUUGAGUUUGACAAAGCUGUGGUCCAUCAACUUUCAGAAAACUAAGAUCAUGGCAUCUGGUCCC